UGCGCCUGAGGUGAUGGCGUGCCACCUUACCCAACCGCCGUUCUGGUAACCAGACGGCUGAUGACGCCUGACAACAC
rnacentral:ncRNA from 1 species